rnacentral:rRNA from 1 species
GCGCAGCAGUCGCGAAAACUUUACAAUGUGCGAAAGCACGAUAAGGGAACUCUGAGUGCCUCCUAAGGAGGCUGUUCAGGUGUCUAAAAGCACCUGGAGUAAGGGCUGGGUAAGACCGGUGCCAGCCGCCGCGGUAACACCGGCAGCCCAGGUGGUAGCCACUUUUAUUGGGUCUAAAGCGUCCGUAGCCGGUUGAGUAAGUUCCUUGGGAAAUUUGGCUGCUCAACAGUCAAGCUUCCAGGGAAUACUGCUCGACUUGGGACUGGGAGAGGUCAGAGGUACUCCAGGGGUAGGGUGAAAUCCAUUAAUCCCUGGGGGACCACCGGUAGCGAAGGCGUCUGACCAGACCAGGUCCGACGGUGAGGGACGAAGGCUAGGGUCGCGAACCGGAUUAGAUACCCGGGUAGU